GACGAACGCUGGCGGCGUGCUUAACACAUGCAAGUCGAACGGAAAGGCCCUGCUUUUGUGGGGUGCUCGAGUGGCGAACGGGUGAGUAACACGUGAGUAACCUGCCCUUGACUUUGGGAUAACUUCAGGAAACUGGGGCUAAUACCGGAUAGGAGCUCCUGCUGCAUGGUGGGGGUUGGAAAGUUUCGGCGGUUGGGGAUGGACUCGCGGCUUAUCAGCUUGUUGGUGGGGUAGUGGCUUACCAAGGCUUUGACGGGUAGCCGGCCUGAGAGGGUGACCGACCACAUUGGGACUGAGAUACGGCCCAGACUCCUACGGGAGGCAGCAGUGGGGAAUAUUGCACAAUGGGCGGAAGCCUGAUGCAGCAACGCCGCGUGCGGGAUGACGGCCUUCGGGUUGUAAACCGCUUUCGCCUGUGACGAAGCGUGAGUGAUGGUAAUGGGUAAAGAAGCACCGGCUAACUACGUG
rnacentral:rRNA from 1 species